CGUGUAGGUGGAUCUCUAAGUCGGUGGUGAAAUCCUGCAGCUUAACUGUAGAAUUGCCUUCGAUACUGGAGAUCUUGAGUGCGGCAGAGGGAGACGGAAUUCAUGGUGUAGCGGUGAAAUGUGUAGAUAUCAUGAAGAACACCGGUUGCGAAGGCGGUUUCCUGGUCCGUUACUGACACUGAGGCGCGAAAGCGCGGGGAGCAAACA
rnacentral:rRNA from 1 species